rnacentral:lncRNA from 1 species
UUUAGGUUCAGGGCUACAUGUACAGGUUUGUUAUAUAAGUAAGUUCAUGUCAUGGGGGUUCGUUAUACAGAUUGUCACCCAGGUACUAAGCCUAGUAUCCAAUAGUUAUUUUUCUUAUUAUUUCCCUCCUCCCACCCUCCACCCUCCACAACAGACACUGGGGCCUACCUGAGACAAACCUACCUGAGGGAGGCUUCCACCCUCAAGUUGGCCCCUGUGUCUGUUCUUCUCUGUGUGUCCAUGUGUUCUCAUCAUUUAGCUCCCACUUAUGAGAACAUGUGGUAUUUGGUUUUCUGUUCCUGUUUUAGUUUGCUAAGAAUGAUGGCCUCCAUCUUCAUCCAUGUCCCUGCAAAGGACAUGACCUCAUUCUUUUUUAUGGCUGCAUAGUAUUCCGUGGUGUAUAUGUACCACAUUUUCUUUAUCCAGUCUAACACUGAUGAGCAUUUAGGUUGGUUCCAUGUCUUUGCUACUGUGAACAGUGCUGCAGUGAACAUACAUGUACAUGUGUCUUUAUGGUAGAACGAUUUACAUUCCUUUGGGUAUAUACCCAUUAAUGGGAUUCCUGGGUUGAAUGGUAGUUCCAUUUUUAGCUCUUUGAGGAAUUGCCACACUGCUUUCCACAACGGUUUAACUAAUUUACCCUCCCCACAACAGUGUAUAAGUGUUCCCUUUUCCCCACAACCUGGCCCACAUCUGUUAUUUUUUUGACUUUUAAUAAUAACCAUUCUGACUAAUGUGAGAUGGUAUCUCAUUGUAGUUUUGAUUUGCAUUUCCCUAGUGAUCAGUGAUAUUGAGCUUUUUGUCAUAUGUUUGUUGGCUACACAUAUGCCUUCUUCUGAAAAGUUUCUGUUCAUGUCCUUUGCCCACUAAUUAAUAAGAUUUUUCUUGUAAAUUUAAGUUCCUUAUACAUACUGGUUAUACCUUUGUCAGAUACAUAAUUAGCAAAUAUUUUCUCCCAUUCUACAGAUGGUCUGCAUACUCUGUUGAUAGUUUAUUUUGCUGUGCAAAAGCUAUUAAGUUUAAUUAGAUCCCAUUUGUCAACUUUUGCUUUUGCUGCAAUUGUUUUCAGCAUCUUCAUCAUACAAUUAACAGCAGUUCUUAUGUCCAGAAUGGUAUUGCAUGGAUUGUCUUCCAGGGAUGAUUUUUUUUUUGAGACGGAGUCUUGCUCUGUUGCCCAGGCUGGAAUGCAGUGGCGUGACCUCGGCUCACUGCAACUUCUGCCUCC